UUAGGAAUCUUCCACAAUGGGCGCAAGCCUGAUGGAGCGACGCCGCGUGAGGGACGAAGGUCUUCGGAUUGUAAACCUCUAAAAGAGGGACGAUAGUGACGGUACCUCUUGAGAAGCACCGGCUAACUCCGUGCCAGCAGCCGCGGUAAUACGGAGGGUGCGAACGUUAUCCGGAAUCACUGGGCGUAAAGGGCGCGUAGGCGGUUUGCUAAGUCCGAUGUUAAAGAUCGAGGCUCAACCUCGUUAAGGCGUUGGAUACUGGCAGGCUCGACGGCUGGAGAGGUGAGUGGAAUUACCAGUGUAGCGGUGGAAUGCGUAGAUACUGGUAGGAACACCUAUUGCGAAGGCAGCUCACUGGACAGCACGUGACGCUGAGGUGCGAAAGUGUGGGGAGCAAACCGGAUUAGAUACCCGUGUAGUCC
rnacentral:rRNA from 1 species